AGGAAUCUGCCUAUUAGUGGGGGACAACAUUUCGAAAGGAAUGCUAAUACCGCAUACGUCCUACGGGAGAAAGCAGGGGAUCUUCGGACCUUGCGCUAAUAGAUGAGCCUAAGUCGGAUUAGCUAGUUGGUGGGGUAAAGGCCUACCAAGGCGACGAUCUGUAGCGGGUCUGAGAGGAUGAUCCGCCACACUGGGACUGAGACACGGCCCAGACUCCUACGGGAGGCAGCAGUGGGGAAUAUUGGACAAUGGGCGCAAGCCUGAUCCAGCCAUGCCGCGUGUGUGAAGAAGGCCUUAUGGUUGUAAAGCACUUUAAGCGAGGAGGAGGCUACUGAAGUUAAUACCUUCAGAUAGUGGACGUUACUCGCAGAAUAAGCACCGGCUAACUCUGUGCCAGCAGCCGCGGUAAUACAGAGGGUGCAAGCGUUAAUCGGAUUUACUGGGCGUAAAGCGCGCGUAGGCGGCUAAUUAAGUCAAAUGUGAAAUCCCCGAGCUUAACUUGGGAAUUGCAUUCGAUACUGGUUAGCUAGAGUGUGGGAGAGGAUGGUAGAAUUCCAGGU
rnacentral:rRNA from 1 species